ensembl:lncRNA
AAUAGAAGAUCUUUUGUCCACGUCGGUUUGAGUGAUGCUGACUCCAGGCUAGACGAACAGUCUUCACCCUUUAACUGAGCAUCAGACGCCACAAUAAAAUCUGGGCAAGGAUUGUGUCUCAUGUGGUCUCUCUGUUGCAGUAUCUGCAGUUCAACUUUAGACCUGGAAGUAAUGAAAAAAAAGUAAUUAUCUAAAUAAUCUUUACCUAUUGUGCUAGUGUAAUUGUGUUACCUGCACAGGUGAGGGAUGAUUUCUCCAUGAUUUGACGAAGAGUAAAUGUUGCCAUCCAUGGGCUCAUUCACCGUUGACUCCGAGUCCUAACAGCAGAGUCCAGACAAUGUUGGUUUUACUCUUUAAAAUACUGUGUGUGAUGAAUGCAUGACAUUGACUUCACCUGUGUGUCCAUGUUGACAGGCUCGGGUACGGGUGUGACGGCAGGACUGUCUUCCUCUCUGUACUGUUGGGCUUUAGAAGGCAGAGUGUGGUGCAGGCUGUUGGAGAGGGUGUUCAGUCUGAACAACAGUUCAUCCAAUAAGCCGUCAAAUUCUUCAAGGUAG